rnacentral:rRNA from 1 species
UACGGAGGGGGCAAGCGUUGUUCGGAAUUACUGGGCGUAAAGGGCGCGCAGGCGGCUGCUCAAGUCAGGCGUGAAAGGCCUGGGCUCAACCCGGGAAUUGCGCUUGAGACUGGGCUGGCUUGAGUGCGGGAGAGGAUGGUGGAAUUCCCAGUGUAGAGGUGAAAUUCGUAGAUAUUGGGAAGAACACCGGUGGCGAAGGCGGCCAUCUGGACCGCAACUGACGCUGAGGAGCGAAAGCAUGGGGAGCGAACAGG